CCUACGGGUGGCAGCAGUGAGGAAUAUUGGUCAAUGGCCGGAAGGCUGAACCAGCCAUGCCGCGUGAAGGUCAGUGCCCUAUGGGCGUUAAACUUCUUUUGUGCGGGAGCAAGAAUGGGCACGUGUGGCCAGACGAGAGUACCGUACGAAUAAGCAGCGGCUAACUCCGGGCCAGCAGCCGCGGUAAUACGGAGGAUCCGAGCGUUAUCCGGAUUUAUUGGGUUGAAAGGGAGCGUAGAUGGGUUGUUAAGUCAGUUGUGAAAGUUUGCGGCUCAACCGUAAAAUUGCAAUUGAUACUGGCAGUCUUGAGUACAGUUGCGGUAGGCGGACUUCGUGGUGUAGCGGUGACAUGCUUAGAUAUCACGAAGAACUCCGAUUGCGACGGCAGCUUACUAAACUGCCCCUGACAUUGAUGCUCGACAGUGUGGGUAUCAAACAGGAUUAGAUACCCGUGUAGUC
rnacentral:rRNA from 1 species